UCUAUUUAUUCAAUAGAAUUUGGUCCUCAGCAGCUAUUUUAAGGUGUUUGCAUCAUGGUUCUUUUGAUAAAAGUUUGAAAGGUUUGUAUCAUAGGUUUCGAUUACCAAGGAGCUAAUACCUUCAGAAAGGUCUACAUCAUAGUUCGUAACCAUAGAUUGUUGCUAAUUAAUUAUUUAGUUGUAGAAAGUGAGUUGGGAGAUACUGUCAUUGUCCAACCAAGUCCAUUUUCAGGCUGAAGUUUUUGCCAUUUUGGACUCAUAUUUGAGCUAAUGACAUGCUUCUUUUUAAGUUGGAUUUUAUUGUUUUAUGUGGACAAUGUUUGAUUAUUUAUCUUGAUUUGUCUACAGGAGUGGAAAUUGAUUUGGACUUUCUUGUACUUGAGUAGUCGAGUUUGUGUAGAAGUCUUAAAUCUUUCUUGAACUUAAAUUGUGUAGACUACAACAAUAAGAAAACUCAUUUUGUCUUGAAUUUUACAUUUUGCUUGUAAGUCCUUUGAUAUAGUGUUCCCACUAACUGUGAUAUUAUACUAUUCCUUGAUAUAGUGUUCCCACUAACUGUGAUAUUAUACUAUUCCUUGUUCAAUUUAUUUAUAGGUUUUGGUCCUCGAUAGCUGUUUUAAGGCAUUAGUUUUGGUGAAGUUGGCUUUCCUCGAUCGAUUUGGUUCUUGUCUAUAGGAGCACGAUUCAUUAUUGUUGGCUUGCUGGUGCUUGGCAGCUUAAGGCUUGUUGUUGUUGUUGUUGGCAGCUUAAGUGAUGGAGUUUAGUUUGGCAAUAAGCAAUUUUUCCCCCCCUUGUUUUCUUUAUUCUCUCCUUCAAUCAUAUGAAUUAUAAGUAUAUUUUCCGUAUUGUUUUCUAAUAUUGGGCAAUAUAUGCUUUGUUUUAGGAUUUGGUUUCCUUGAGGAUUAUAAAUUUCAGUCUCACUCAACAAGGGUUCGAAAGUUCCAUUGAAAUUCUUAUCCUUUUGUCCUGCUUUCUAGUUCGACUUUAGUCAUUCUAUUUUGGCAAGCUUGUAUCUAUUUCAUAUGUGCCAAUAUGAGAUGAGUUCUGGAUGCCUUAAAAAUAGCUGUUCUCUAAUUACAAGUGAAGUUUAGAGCUGCUUCCUUAUACCUCCUCUAUAGGUGUGUCUACUUGGGAUGGAGUUUGAUGAGGACCUAAGGCAGUAAUCUCUCUUUAUCAAUUGAUUUCACUAUUCUCUUCAUAAUAGUUGAAUGAUAAUGUUUCUGCUUGUGUGUUUUUUUUAGUUCAUCGGCUUUCUGCUUCAUUUAGUUAAUUGAAGUCUUGCUGUUUGUUGGUAGUCAGAAUUCUUGAAUCUUGAUGUGUAUGGCGAAAUUGUGAUUUACAAUCUUCAUGUUUCUAUUGCAGGGGAAAUGGUGAUUUAGUUGCGCAAAAGAGUGCAUAGAAGUCUUGAAUUUUAAUAUGAGGACCUAAGGCAAUAAUCUCUUUUUAUCAAUUUAUCUCAUCAUUCUUUCCCCAACAUGUGAAGAUUAAUGAUUCUGCUUGAAUGUUUCUUUAGUUUGUGCUAAAUACUGGAGUUUCAUUGUGUCUUGCUAGUUGCUGCUAGUUCAAAGACUUUGAUCAUGAUGUGUCUACAGGUGGAAAAGUUAUGAUUUUACUUUUGCAGCAGGAGCGUGUAGAAGUCUUUUGAUUAUCAUUCUCUUUUGAUUUCACGUUUUUUACCCUUGAACAUGAUCUUGUCCCUUGUUCAAUUUAUUUUAUGGACUUUGUUUCUUUGCAUAUUUUUUAAGGCAUGUACGUUGGAUCAAUGUGUUUGGAAUUAACUUGUGUCCAUGGAUUUUAUUCAUAAUUAUAAUCUUGAAUUGUUGCUGAUUAUGUUGUAGCCAUCAAAAGUGAGCAGAUACUGUCGAACCGAGUCUGUGGUUAAUCUCUGCUACAAUCAUAAGAAUUAUAGGGAUAAUAUUGUUCUUGUUUAAUUUCUUUCUAUUACUUGGGUGUGUGAAUGCUUUUCUUUGGUGUUGGUUUUAUAGAGGUUUUGAAACUUCCAUUGCAUUUCAGUGUGGUAAUGCGUCUUAAUGGUGUCGGGCAGGUAGAUUAACUGAGUUUGUGUGCUAAAUAUAUCUGUCAUGUGAAAGUAAUUAUGAUAUUUCUUUAUCCUAUAGUGACGGGCAUGAGGAGUGCUUUCUGGAAUUAACUUAUCUCUCUGCAUUUGCAUCAUAAUUGUAAUCUUGAAUUGUUGCUGAUUUGAUUUUGUAGUCAUUGAAAAUGAGAAGAUACUGUUUACAUCCUUCCUAAUCCUUUGUUAGUCCGAAGGUUUUGCUAUUUUUGACUCAAAUUCACUAAACAACAAUAUUCUUCUUUACAAGUUGCCAAUGUUUGUUUUGUAAAUUUGAGAGGGUGAGGUUUGGUGUUAUUGAUAACAGUAUAUCUACAGGAGGGGAAAAUUGUGAUUUGGACUUUAAUAUGUUUGAGCAGGUUUUUGUGUUGUGUUGACUGCAACAAUAAGCAAUCUCUUCCCUUCUCUUGAUUUCUCCUUUUGCUUAUGAGUCUUUUAAAACAUUGUUUGCCCAAACAUGAUACAAUUCAGUAUUUUUGUUCAAUUUAUUUUACAGAUUUUGGUGCUUGGCUAUUCGCUGCAGCAAAAUUGACUUCUCUAAAUCAAUCUGGUAUCCUACUUGGGAAAUAAAGUUUGUUGGGGACCUAAGGCAUUAAUUAAGCUCUCUUUAUCUCUGACUGUAUUUUCCAGUUUGCUCAUGCGGGAAGUCAAUGCCAAUGCUACCAAGGGGGAAGCAGGCUAAGCCGUGGAAUUUGAUUUGGCAAUAGGCUUUCCUUUCC